rnacentral:rRNA from 1 species
AGAGUUUGAUCCUGGCUCAGAUUGAACGCUGGCGGUAUGCUUAACACAUGCAAGUCGAACGGUAACAGCAGAAGCUUGCUUCUGGCUGACGAGUGGCGGACGGGUGAGUAACACGUAGGAAUCUGUCCAAAAGAGGGGGACAACCCGGGGAAACUCGGGCUAAUACCGCAUAAUCUUUAUGAAGCAAAGGGGGCCUCUACUUGUAAGCUCUCGCUUUUGGAUGAGCCUGCGUCGGAUUAGCUUGUUGGUGGGGUAAAGGCCUACCAAGGCUACGAUCCGUAGCUGGUCUGAGAGGAUGACCGGCCACACUGGGACUGAGACACGGCCCAGACUCCUACGGGAGGCAGCAGUGGGGAAUAUUGGACAAUGGGCGCAAGCCUGAUCCAGCAAUACCGCGUGUGUGAAGAAGGCCUGCGGGUUGUAAAGCACUCUCAGUAGGGAGGAAAGGCUUAAGGCUAAUACCCUUAAGAGUUGACGUUACCUACAGAAGAAGCACCGGCUAACUCUGUGCCAGCAGCCGCGGUAAUACAGAGGGUGCAAGCGUUAAUCGGAGUUACUGGGCGUAAAGCGUACGUAGGCGGAAAUUUAAGUCGGAUGUGAAAUCCCCGGGCUCAACCUGGGAACUGCAUUCGAUACUGGGUUUCUAGAGUAUGGUAGAGGUAAGUGGAAUUUCCGGUGUAGCGGUGAAAUGCGUAGAUAUCGGAAAGAACAUCAGUGGCGAAGGCGGCUUACUGGACCAAUACUGACGCUAAGGUACGAAAGCGUGGGGAGCAAACAGGAUUAGAGACCCUGGUAGUCCACGCCGUAAACGAUGAGAACUAGACGUUAGGCUCUUUUACGGGUCUAGUGUCGAAGCUAACGCGUUAAGUUCUCCGCCUGGGGAGUACGGUCGCAAGAUUAAAACUCAAAGGAAUUGACGGGGACCCGCACAAGCGGUGGAGCAUGUGGUUUAACUCGAUGAUACGCGAAGAACCUUACCUACACUUGAAAUCCUAGGAACUUACUAGAGAUAGUUUGGUGCCUUCGGGAACCGAGUGACAGGUGCUGCAUGGCUGUCGUCAGCUCGUGUCGUGAGAUGUUGGGUUAAGUCCCGUAACGAGCGCAACCCUUGUCCUUAGUUGCCAGCAGUUCGGCUGGGCACUCUAGGGAGACUGCCGGUGAUAAACCGGAGGAAGGUGGGGAUGAUGUCAAGUCAUCAUGGCCCUUACGUGUAGGGCUACACACAUGCUACAAUGGGCAGAACAAAGGGUCGCUAAGCCGCGAGGUGGAGCCAAUCCCAUAAAUCUGUUCACAGUCCGGAUUGCAGUCUGCAACUCGACUGCAUGAAGUCGGAAUCGCUAGUAAUCGCGAAUCAGAACGUCGCGGUGAAUACGUUCUCGGGUCUUGUACACACCGCCCGUCACACCAUGGGAGUGGAUUGUACCAGAAGCGGGUAGGCUAACUCUUCGGAGAGGCCGCUCACCACGGUAUGGUUCAUGACUGG